rnacentral:rRNA from 1 species
UAAAGGAAUUGGCGGGGGAGCACUACAAGGGGUGGACGUUGCGGCUUAAUUGGAGUCAACGCCGGAAACCUUACCGGGGGCGACGGCAGGAUGAUGGACAGGUUGAAGGCCUUUCCGGACGAGCCGAGAGGAGGUGCAUGGCCGUCGCCGGUGCGUGCCGUGAGGCGUCCUGUUAAUUCAGGCAACGGACGAGACCCGCGCCCCUAGUUGCCAUCGGGCCGAAAGGCGCCGGGCACUCUAGGGGGACUGCCCCCGAAAGGGGGAGGAAGGAGCGGGCUACGGCAGGUCAGUAUGCCCCGAAUCCCCCGGGCCGCACGCGACGUUCAAUGGCGGGGACAGAGGGUUGCCACCCCGAAAGGGGGAGCUAAUCCCUAAACCCCGCCGUGGUUGGGAUCGAGGGUUGCAACUCGCCCUCGUGAACGCGGAAUCCCUAGUAACCGCGUGUUAAAACCGCGCGGCGAAUACGUCCCCGCUCCUUGCACACACCGCCA